rnacentral:rRNA from 1 species
UCAGGAUGAACGCUGGCGGCGACGCUUAACACAUGCAAGUCGAACGGUUAAGGCCCCUCGGGGGUAGCAUAAAGUGGCGAACGGCUGAGUAACACGUGGGCAACCUGCCCCCCGCACCGGGAUAGCCUCGGGGAAACCGUGGGUAAUACCGGAUACUCCGGCACCACCGCAUGGCGGUGCCGGGAAACGCGUACACGGCGGGGGAUGGGCCCGCGGCCUGUUAGCUCGUUGGCGGGGUAACGGCCCACCAAGGCGAUUAUGGGUAGCCGGGUUGAGAGACCGACCGGCCAGAUUGGGACUGAGACACGGCCCAGACUCCUACGGGGGGCAGCAGUGGGGAAUCUUGCACAAUGGGCGAAAGCCUGAUGCCAGCGACGCCGCGUGCGGGAAGAAGGCCCUCGGGUUGUAAACCGCUUUCAGCAGGGACGAGGCGCAAGUGACGGUACCUGCAGAAGAAGCCCCGGCUAACUACGUGCCAGCCGCAGC